rnacentral:rRNA from 1 species
CAGUAGCCACGGGAAUACAGAGGGUGCGAGCGUUAAUCGGAUUUACUGGGCGUAAAGCGUGCGUAGGCGGCUUUUUAAGUCGGAUGUGAAAUCCCUGAGCUUAACUUAGGAAUUGCAUUCGAUACUGGGAAGCUAGAGUAUGGGAGAGGAUGGUAGAAUUCCAGGUGUAGCGGUGAAAUGCGUAGAGAUCUGGAGGAAUACCGAUGGCGAAGGCAGCCAUCUGGCCUAAUACUGACGCUGAGGUACGAAAGCAUGGGGAGCAAACAGGAUUAGAUACCCGGGUAGUCCCUUCUCUUAUACA